AUUGAACGCUGGCGGCAGGCCUAACACAUGCAAGUCGAACGAGUGGCGGACGGGUGAGUAAUGUCUGGGAAACUGCCUGAUGGAGGGGGCUAACUACUGGAACCGGUAGCUAAUACCGCAUACCAUCGGAUGUGCCCUGAUGGGAUUAGCUAGUAGGUGGGGUAAAGGCUCACCUAGGCGACGAUCCCUAGCUGGUCUGAGAGGAUGACCAGCCACACUGGAACUGAGACACGGGCCAGACUCCUACGUGAGGCAGCAGUGGGGAAUAUUGCACACGGGGCGCGAGCCUUAUGCAGCCAUGCCGCGUGUAUGAAGAAGGCCUUCGGGUUGUAAAGUACUGUCAGCGGGGAGGCGUUACCCGCAGAAGAAGCACCGGCUAACUCCGGGCCAGCCGCCGCGGUAAUAC
rnacentral:rRNA from 1 species